rnacentral:rRNA from 1 species
CGAUGAACCUCCUUCGGGAGGGGAUUAGUGGCGAACGGGUGAGUAACACGUGGGCAAUCUGCCCUGCACUCUGGGACAAGCCCUGGAAACGGGGUCUAAUACCGGAUACGAGUUUCACGGGCAUCUGUGAUUCUGGAAAGCUCCGGCGGUGCAGGAUGAGCCCGCGGCCUAUCAGCUUGUUGGUGAGGUAACGGCUCACCAAGGCGACGACGGGUAGCCGGCCUGAGAGGGCGACCGGCCACACUGGGACUGAGACACGGCCCAGACUCCUACGGGAGGCAGCAGUGGGGAAUAUUGCACAAUGGGCGCAAGCCUGAUGCAGCGACGCCGCGUGAGGGAUGACGGCCUUCGGGUUGUAAACCUCUUUCAGCAGGGAAGAAGCGAGAGUGACGGUACCUGCAGAAGAAGCGCCGGCUAACUACGUGCCAGCAGCCGCGGUAAUACGUAGGGCGCAAGCGUUGUCCGGAAUUAUUGGGCGUAAAGAGCUCGUAGGCGGCUUGUCGCGUCGGAUGUGAAAGCCCGGGGCUUAACCCCGGGUCUGCAUUCGAUACGGGCAGGCUAGAGUUCGGUAGGGGAGAUCGGAAUUCCUGGUGUAGCGGUGAAAUGCGCAGAUAUCAGGAGGAACACCGGUGGCGAAGGCGGAUCUCUGGGCCGAUACUGACGCUGAGGAGCGAAAGCGUGGGGAGCGAACAGGAUUAGAUACCCUGGUAGUCCACGCCGUAAACGGUGGGCACUAGGUGUGGGCAACAUUCCACGUUGUCCGUGCCGCAGCUAACGCAUUAAGUGCCCCGCCUGGGGAGUAC